CAGGAAGAUGGACAAGAAUCUCACUGCUGAGAAUUCAAAUGUCUUAAAUUUUUUUUAUAUUGGAGGGUAAGUUUGGCUGGUGGAUUGUCAUCCUAUCUUUUCCAACCCAGAGUCAAUGACUCCUGGUCUAAAAGGACAGGAAAAUCUAUACCAGGGUCCCCUGGCUGUGGUUACAUAAUAAAGCAUGGAUUAGUAGUGAUUACCUUUUAGUGGAUGGAUUGAUUAAAUGAUCAUUUAUUCAUCCAUUCACUCAGUCAUCAUGACCACCAGCUUGCCCUCCACAGUUGCUAAUGUCUAGCCAUUCCUUAUCUAUUGGCAAGGAAUGCAAAUGGAAUCAGUUCUUUCUUUUGGGGCUGAGGUAAUAGUGGAAUGCUCCCUUACAGGAAGCUACCCGGGACUUCACAGGCCCUGUGCCAGUGACUUCCUUGAAACCAGGAAUAUUGAUUUGCAGAAAAGCUGUCAGUCCAGUCUUGAUUCUGAUAUCUUUCUACAAUAUGGCUUCAGACACUUAAAUAGGAAAUGUGUGUGAAGCAGGUACCUAUAAUUAGGCUUCUGAAUUCUGCAACUCCAGGUCACUCUGGGAGCAUAUGUCACCUCCUCACUCUACUUCUUAGUUUUUCUCUGAAGUUAGAUUAAUUCCUAGAUGGUGGGACCAAAUUUGAAUUGAACAUGUUUAUAGAUACAGCACAUGUCCAAGGAGGCAGGCUUCUCAGUGAAUUUACUGACUGGCUUACUGAUAAGGAUGCAUAAACCUAUUGGUGGUACUCAAUAUGACUGGGAGAAAACAAUAUAUGAAACUUGCAGGUGGCAUUUUAUAUUUGGAAGGAUCAGGCACUAAGAGAAAAUGCUCUUUCAACCAGGAGAGAAGGCUUAAAUAGAGAGUGACUUAUGUUGCUUAGAAGCAAAAUCCAGAGCUUUAAGACACUGGUUUUUACAGAAAUACAGAACAAAUAUAAGGCUGUCAUAUAGCAACGAAAGUAUACCUUAUGUAUUCAGAAGUCUGACUUUGUUAAUCUUGCGCCAAGGAAACACAUCCAGCACCAACAGUAAGUGAACCUCUGGAAAUAGUGGUCUGAAAUCUUCAUCCUUAGUUUCUCAGUUCUGUUCUUUUUUGUUUUGUUUUUGUAGUUUAAAGUUGUACCCUGAAUGAACACUGUUUUGUUUUUAUAAACCAUUUAUGUGUAUAAGUCAUAACCUUCUUAAAAA
rnacentral:lncRNA from 1 species